GCGCUCGCCUGGGCCUGGUCCUGUGCCCAAGCGCUUCCGCCUGUGCCUCGGCGUGGUCCGCCCGGACGAAGAGGUGAUGAGCUGUCCUCUCUCCAAAGUCCCAAGGGCUGGGGGACUGAGGUGGGAUGAGGCCUGCACCGAGAAAGGGACAGAAGGAGCAAGCUAUUGUGUAGAGCACUUUGCACAGCAGACUCUAGGAGCAAGUGUCACCAUUUCUCUCAUGACUGCCUCCAUUCACCUUCUCUUCCAGAGUCCUCUGUGUUUUCAAGAGCAAAGAAAAUGUGUACAUCUCUGGGAUUGGUGUCGUUUGAGGAUUUGGCUGUGGACUUCACCUGGGAGGAGUGGCAGUACCUGGAUGAUGCUCAGAGGAGCCUGUGCAGGGAUGUGAUGCUGGAGACCUGCAGCAGCCUGGUGGUGUUGGAGCCUGAGCCUUUGAGAACUGACCCGAACUGCUGAACAGUCGGAUCUGGCCAAGGAGCUGUGGACACCCCGUCGUCUGCCUUGGUGUUGGAGUCCUGGUGGAAGGAAGGAAGAGCUCCGACAGACUCCUUGGCAGGGAGCUCAAAUGAUUUCUUCUUUCCGAAGAGAAUUUGGAAGAUGGGUUCCAGUGGUGAAGCUGUUUUCCACAUAUUUGACACGACACAGGAAGUUGCUGUAGUGACUGCUGCUCGCUUAGAUGAGGCUCUGUCAAUCCGGGUAGCUUCUGGCUUGAUGGAUGACUGUAUUUCUAACACUGAUGUUUCUGGAAGAGAGGGUGGAGGCGGAGGGUGUGGUGCCGACAGCGGUGCCUGCAGGGUACCGGGGACACUUGGAGGGCUUCUCCUCAGACCGCGGGGCUGCGGUUAUCUUUGGGUAGAUGGAAAUGUCCACUUCUUCCUGUUGAAGUCGGGGCCGUUUCUUCUCAAUCCUGUCUAACUUUCCAGCACUUGAAGGACGUUUUAUUUUAUGACAGAUUACUAACCCAAGGAUUAUAUUUGGACGUGGUGACUCAAGACCUGAAAACAAAAUAUUUGUGUGAAUUUUAGAAUCUAAAUCCAGUUUUCAUCCUUCAGAGGUAAAUUUUAUUAAGGGCUUUCACGUGGGAAAUCCUGUGGGAAAAUAAA